CCUACGGGAGGCUGCAGUGGGGAAUUUUGCGCAAUGCUCGUAAGAGUGACGCAGCGACGCCGCGUGAAUGACGAAGGCCUUCGGGUCGUAAAGUUCUUUCGACAGGGAAGAAAAUGCCUAUAAGUAACUGUGUAUGUAUUGACGGUACCUGUAUAAGCAGCCCCGGCUAACUCCGUGCAGGCAGCCGCGGUAAUACGGGGGGGGGGAGGGGUGUUCGGAGUGACUGGGCGUAAGGAUCACGUAGGGGGUGUUGUAAGUCAUUAGUAAAAGAGUAGAGCUCAACUUUAGUAAGGCUAGUGAUACUAUAAUACUAGAGUAUCAGAGAGGAUUGCAGAAUUCCUGGUGUAGGGGUGAAAGGCGUAGAUAUCAAGAGGAAUACCGUUAGCGAAGGCGGCAAUCUGGCUAGAAACUGACGCUGAGGUGCGAAAGCGUGGGUAGCAAACAGGAGUAGAUACCGAGUAGUC
rnacentral:rRNA from 1 species